rnacentral:rRNA from 1 species
UACGGAGGGUGCAAGCGUUGUUCGGAAUUACUGGGCGUAAAGGGCGCGUAGGUGGUUGUGUAAGUCAGAUGUGAAAUCCCGAGGCUCAACCUUGGAACUGCAUCUGAUACUGCAUGACUCGAGUACAGCAGAGGGAAACGGAAUUCCUGGUGUAGAGGUGAAAUUCGUAGAUAUCAGGAGGAACACCGGUGGCGAAGGCGGUUUCCUGGGCUGAUACUGACACUGAGGCGCGAAAGCGUGGGGAGCAAACAGG